rnacentral:misc_RNA from 1 species
GUAGGUGAACCUGCGGAAGGAUCAUUAGAAAGUUCGACGGCCGAGAGGCCCGUCCCACCUUCAAAACCACUUGUGAAAUCACCCGUUGCCUCGGCGGCGUUGGGACGGUCCUCCGCCCCUCGUCAGUCCGCCCGAGGCUCCAAACCAAAACUUUUUUUCAGUAAACCUCAGUCUGACAAACCAAAAAGAUUUAAUUCGUUAAAACUUUCAACAACGGAUCUCUUGGUUCUCGCAUCGAUGAAGAACGCAG